rnacentral:rRNA from 1 species
AUCGAACGCUGGCGGCAUGCUUUACACAUGCAAGUCGAACGGUAACAGGCCGCAAGGUGCUGACGAGUGGCGAACGGGUGAGUAAUGCAUCGGAACGUGCCCAGUCGUGGGGGAUAACGCAGCGAAAGCUGCGCUAAUACCGCAUACGAUCUAUGGAUGAAAGCGGGGGACCGUAAGGCCUCGCGCGAUUGGAGCGGCCGAUGUCAGAUUAGGUAGUUGGUGGGGUAAAGGCUCACCAAGCCGACGAUCUGUAGCUGGUCUGAGAGGACGACCAGCCACACUGGGACUGAGACACGGCCCAGACUCCUACGGGAGGCAGCAGUGGGGAAUUUUGGACAAUGGGCGCAAGCCUGAUCCAGCAAUGCCGCGUGCAGGAAGAAGGCCUUCGGGUUGUAAACUGCUUUUGUACGGAACGAAAAGGCUCUGGUUAAUACCUGGGGCUCAUGACGGUACCGUAAGAAUAAGCACCGGCUAACUACGUGCCAGCCGCCGCCGUAACAC